rnacentral:rRNA from 1 species
GACGAACGCUGGCGGCGUGCUUAACACAUGCAAGUCGAACGGAAAGGCCCGGCGUUUGUUGGGUGCUCGAGUGGCGAACGGGGGAGUAACACGUGAGUAACCUGCCCUUGACUUUGGGAUAACUUCUGGAAACUGGGGCUAAUACCGGAUAUGAGCUCCUGCUGCAUGGUGGUGGUUGGAAAGUUUCGGCGGUUGGGGCUGGACUCGCGGCUUAUCAGCUUGUUGGUGUGGUAGUGGCUUACCAGGGCUUUGACGGGUAGCCGGCCUGAGAGGGUGACCGGCGACCAUGGGCCUGAGGGACGGCGCAGAAUCCUACCGGCGGCAGUGGUGGGGAAUCUUGCGCAAUGGGGGGGAGCCUGAUGCAGCAACGCCGGGUUCGGGAAGCCGGCCUUUCGGGUGUAAACCGAUUUCGAAGGUGAUGAAGCGUGAGUGACGGUAAUGGGUAAAGAAGCACCGGCUAACUACGUG